CUUUCCUACGGGGGGCAGCAGUGGGGAAUAUUGGGCAAUGGGCGCAAGCCUGACCCAGCAACGCCGCGUGUAGGAAGAAGGCUUUCGGGUUGUAAACUUCUUUUAUGAGGGACGAAACAAAUGACGGUACCUCAUGAAUAAGCCACGGCUAACUACGUGCCAGCAGCCGCGGUAAUACGUAGGUGGCAGGCGUUAUCCGGAUUUACUGGGUGUAAAGGGCGUGUAGGCGGGACUGCAAGUCAGAUGUGAAAAUUAUGGGCUCAAACCAUAACCUGCAUUUGAAAAUGUAGUUCUUGAGUGAUGGG
rnacentral:rRNA from 1 species